rnacentral:sRNA from 1 species
AAGUUCACUGUAGUCCUCACCAUAUC